UUACUGCUUUUUGAGACAAAGACACGUGGGGAAAGAUAACACUGACUGUAUGUAUUCAUGGCGAUAAGGUGUUUUCAUCCGUAGUGACCACCAAAGAUAAAACGCAAAACAACUGGAAACACAUACUUGUGAUGUAUAACCAAAUUCAUUUCGGUGUAAUUAUUGCGUGCAUUGUUUGGCUGGUUGUUUCUGAUUGUACAUAUGGACAGACAUCUGAUAUUGUUCCUCGCAAAGUAAGAAGAAUGAAGAAAUGUAGCAGAGACUUGUUCAUCGGAUUUGAUACAUGCAAGACCGUAAAGCUGUUGUACCGUGAUAUACCGGAGAUGUUUUGCGUUCAUUAUCGACAUGAAUGCUGUAAAACAUGCAUACGGGAAACUACGAAUCGAAUGAUAAAGAGGGCGUUGUCACGUAUCAGGAAAAUUGGCAGUAUGAAAGACAAAAGACCAGUCUGAUGGCUAUCGUGUGAUACUGUUGGGGAUCAUCUGAUGUUCAUGGAUGAAACCCUUUUGUCAGAAGACAACAUUGUGAUAUAUAAUAUACAUAAGUAUUAUUGUAACAAUUUUAUAAAGUAAUACAUGCCACCAAAGUGUAUAUAUCAAGACGUAAGUGUUGUUUGUUAGCAUAUAUUCAAUUAGUAAACAAUAAUUUGUUCUAGGUAUUUAUGUGAUGGCAUUCUUGUCGAUAUUCCUGACAUUUAUAUUGCUAUUAUCGUCAGAAAUCGUUAACACGUGUUUAGUAUAACGUCAUCAGAUACAUUUCAUUGUCAUAUAUAUCUUUUUAUAUUAUUUUAUAAACGUGUAUUAAAAAUCAAAUCAA